CGCGUAGAAAGAAAUUUAAAUGCAACGUGGGCAAACGUAAUGAUUGUGUAUUGUGUUCCUUCCUGGGAUUGGUGGAUUGGGUAAAUGAUGGUGGAAAUGUGCUGGAAAGAAAUGUUGUUGGGAACAUCAGAUCCGAGCCUCCCCGGGGAAACUAAGCCUCUCAGAUCUCUCACUUAAUGCAUGACAUUACUGCAGUGAUAUAACUGCUCACAAUAGGCUCAGUUAAGAGCUUAAUCGACAAUAUACAAACAACAGUGGGAUAAAUAUGAAAGAGAAAAGUAUUAAAGAUGGGGUUUGCAUUGACUUUUGUGGGGCCUCUUAAUACAGACUUCACUUUAGCAGGAAUUGUAUUUAGUUGUAGGAAGACCUGAUGAUUUUCACAUUGUAAAGUAGUCACAGGUAAGUCAAAAGUCCAUUUGCAUUAAGUAUUUUUUUAGCAGAGAUUUUGGUUACCAGA
ensembl:lncRNA